rnacentral:ncRNA from 2 species
UACUUAUCAAGAGUGGGGGAGGGAACUGGCCCAAUGAACCCCGGCAACCUACUUCAAAUUCAUGAAGCAAGGUGCUACGUCCAUCCAAAUGGGAACCAUUUUGGGAGAUAAGGU